UCAAUUGAACGUAAGACUGAAAUAGGCAACCGUACCUAACAGGAUCCUUAUACAUUUUUUCCUGCAAAGAAAUAUGUAAGAAAGAAGCCUCAGAUUUUGAAAUCAUUCCUAGUUACUGUAAUUAUGAAUGUUUGAAUUCUUACCAACAAAUUAGUACCACCGACGUCGCGCCAAAGCUCUACCGGCUCUUGAAGAACCAGCAUAUUAUCAUUUGCUUUAAAAUUAUUUAAAAAUGUUGUUUUCCCACUUCCGAUAUUGCCUUCUAUACACACGGUAAAAAGCCGCUUAGAGUUCUUAUUAGGUGAUGC